rnacentral:lncRNA from 1 species
UAAGGCGGCUAUGAUAGGGUGAUGUGUUGUGUGCAUAACAAUGUUGGGUGUCUUGAUGAUGAUCUAAUUGUUGGUGGUGGUACGGGGUAUGCUCUUGGUAUUGUGGUUGGGUGUUUCAAAUGUUAGGGUCGUAGGUUUGUGUGUUUGUGGAUAGGAAAUUUUGAUGGAUAAGGGGUUAUGAGUAACUGGUCUGGCAAUGUUGUUAGGGGUUAGAUGUUGAACAUUCUUGUGUGUAAGUUAC